rnacentral:rRNA from 1 species
AUUGAACGCUGGCGGAAUGCUUUACACAUGCAAGUCGAACGGCAGCACGGGGCAACCUGGUGGCGAGUGGGCGAACGGGUGAGUAAUAUAUCGGAACGUGCCCAAUCGUGGGGGAUAACGUAGCGAAAGUUACGCUAAUACCGCAUACGAUCUACGGAUGAAAGCGGGGGAUCGCAAGACCUCGCGCGAAUGGAGCGGCCGAUAUCAGAUUAGGUAGUUGGUGGGGUAAAGGCUCACCAAGCCAACGAUCUGUAGCUGGUCUGAGAGGACGACCAGCCACACUGGAACUGAGACACGGUCCAGACUCCUACGGGAGGCAGCAGUUGGGAAUUUUCCACAAUGGGCGAAAGCCUGAUGGAGCAACGCCGCGUGCAGGAAGAAUGCCUUCGGGUUGUAAACUGCUUUUAUGUGCGAAGAAUAUGACGGUAGCAUAUGAAUAAGGGUCGGCUAACUACGUG